rnacentral:rRNA from 1 species
GACGAACGCUGGCGGCGUGCUUAACACAUGCAAGUCGAACGAUGAAGCCGGAGCUUGCUCUGGUGAAUUAGUGGCGAACGGGUGAGUAACACGUGAGUAACCUGCCCUUGACCCUGGGAUAACUGCGGGAAACUGUAGCUAAUACCGGAUACGACCCUCGGAGGCAUCUCCUGGGGGUGGAAAGAAUUUCGGUCAAGGAUGGACUCGCGGCCUAUCAGCUAGUUGGUGAGGUAAAGGCUCACCAAGGCGACGACGGGUAGCCGGCCUGAGAGGGUGACCGGCCACACUGGGACUGAGACACGGCCCAGACUCCUACGGGAGGCAGCAGUGGGGAAUAUUGCACAAUGGGCGCAAGCCUGAUGCAGCAACGCCGCGUGAGGGAUGACGGCCUUCGGGUUGUAAACCUCUUUUAGCAGGGAAGAGGCGAAAGUGACGGUACCUGCAGAAAAAGCACCGGCUAACUACGUGCCAGCCGCCGCAGUAA